GAUGAAGAACGUAGCGAAAUGCGAUAAGUAAUGUGAAUUGCAGAAUUCAGUGAAUCAUCGAAUCUUUGAACGCACAUUGCGCCCGCCAGUAUUCUGGCGGGCAUGCCUGUUCGAGCGUCAUUUCAACCAUCAAGCCCCCGGGCUUGUGUUGGGGACCUGCGGCUGCCGCAGGCCCUGAAAACCAGUGGCGGGCUCGCUAGUCACUCCGAGCGUAGUAGUUACAUCUCGCUCAGGGCGUGCUGCGGGUUCCGGCCGUUAAAAGCCUUUUACCCCAAGGUUGACCUCGGAUCAGGUAGGAAGACCCGCUGAACUUAAGCAUAUCUAUAAGCGGAGGA
rnacentral:misc_RNA from 1 species